UUCUAAUGUUGGGUUAGUCCNNAACGAGCGCMACCCUUGUCCUUAGUUGCUAGCGGUUCGGCGGGCNCUCUAGGGAGACUGCCGGUGACAAACCGGAGGAAGGUGGGGAUGACGUCAAGUCCUCAUGGCCNUUAUGUCCAGGDCUACACACGUGCUACAAUGGCGCGUACAGAGGGAAGCCAAGCCGCGAGGUGGAGCAGACCCCAGAAAGCGCGUCGUAGUUCGGAUUGCAGUCUGCAACUNGACUGCAUGAAGUCGGAAUCGCUAGUAAUCGCGGAUCAGCAUGCCGCGGUAAAUACGUUCCCAGGCC
rnacentral:rRNA from 1 species